AGAUUGAACGCUAGCGGGAUGCUUUACACAUGCAAGUCGAACGGCAGCGCGGGCUUCGGUCUGGCGGCGAGUGGCGAACGGGUGAGUAAUAUAUCGGAACGUGCCCAGUAGCGGGGGAUAACUACGCGAAAGCGUGGCUAAUACCGCAUACGCCCUACGGGGGAAAGGGGGGGAUUCUUCGGAACCUCUCACUAUUGGAGCGGCCGAUAUCAGAUUAGCUAGUUGGUGAGGUAAAGGCUCACCAAGGCGACGAUCUGUAGCUGGUUUGAGAGGACGACCAGCCACACUGGGACUGAGACACGGCCCAGACUCCUACGGAGGCAGCAGUGGGAAUUU
rnacentral:rRNA from 1 species